UCUAAGUAUAACCUGCCAGACAGGGAAACUGCGUACGGCUCAUUACACCAGCCUUAAUUUACUUGACCUUGACAACCUACUUGGAUAACUGUGGUAAUUCUAGAGCUAAUACAUGCACCAAAGCUCCGAUCCUCGCGGAGAGGAGCGCAUUUGAUCGCCACAAAACCAAGCGCCCAUCUGGGCGUCCAGUGCUGAACCAGAACAACUCAGCUGAUCGCACGGUCUUGUACCGGCGACGUGUCUUUCAAGUGUCUGCCUUAUCAACUUUCGAUGGUAGUGUACCUGACUACCAUGGUUGUGACGGGUAACGGAGGAUAAGGGUUCGACUCCGGAGAAGGGGCCUGAGAAAUGGCCACUACGUCUAAGGAUGGCAGCAGGCGCGCAAAUUACCCACUCUCAACGCGAGGAGGUAGUGACGAGAAAUAACGAGACCGUUCUCAUACGAGGCCGGUUAUUGGAAUGGGUACAAUUUAAA
rnacentral:rRNA from 1 species